ACGGGUGAGUAAUGUCUGGGAAACUGCCUGAUGGAGGGGGAUAACUACUGGAAACGGUAGCUAAUACCGCAUAACGUCGCAAGACCAAAGAGGGGGACCUUCGGGCCUCUUGCCAUCGGAUGUGCCCAGAUGGGAUUAGCUAGUAGGUGGGGUAAAGGCUCACCUAGGCGACGAUCCCUAGCUGGUCUGAGAGGAUGACCAGCCACACUGGAACUGAGACACGGUCCAGACUCCUACGGGAGGCAGCAGUGGGGAAUAUUGCACAAUGGGCGCAAGCCUGAUGCAGCCAUGCCGCGUGUAUGAAGAAGGCCUUCGGGUUGUAAAGUACUUUCAGCGGGGAGGAAGGG
rnacentral:rRNA from 1 species